AUUGAACGCUGGCGGCAGGCCUAACACAUGCAAGUCGGGCGGAUGAAGGGAGCUUGCUCCUGGAUUCAGCGGCGGACGGGUGAGUAAUGCCUAGGGAUCUGCCUGGUAGUGGGGGAUAACGUCCGGAAACGGGCGCUAAUACCGCAUACGUCCUGAGGGAGAAAGUGGGGGAUCUUCGGACCUCACGCUAUCAGAUGAGCCUAGGUCGGAUUAGCUAGUUGGUGGGGUAAAGGCCUACCAAGGCGACGAUCCGUAACUGGUCUGAGAGGAUGAUCAGUCACACUGGAACUGAGACACGGUCCAGACUCCUACGGGAGGCAGCAGUGGGGAAUAUUGGACAAUGGGCGAAAGCCUGAUCCAGCCAUGCCGCGUGUGUGAAGAAGGUCUUCGGAUUGUAAAGCACUUUAAGUUGGGAGGAAGGGCAGUAAGUUAAUACCUUGCUGUUUUGACGUUACCAACAGAAUAAGCACCGGCUAACUUCGUG
rnacentral:rRNA from 1 species